rnacentral:rRNA from 2 species
UGGAUCCAGACUUUGAUCAUGGCUCAGGAUGAACGCUAGCUACAGGCUUAACACAUGCAAGUCGAGGGGAAACGACAUCGAAAGCUUGCUUUUGAUGGGCGUCGACCGGCGCACGGGUGAGUAACGCGUAUCCAACCUGCCCACCACUUGGGGAUAACCUUGCGAAAGUAAGACUAAUACCCAAUGAUAUCUCUAGAAGACAUCUGAAAGAGAUUAAAGAUUUAUCGGUGAUGGAUGGGGAUGCGUCUGAUUAGCUUGUUGGCGGGGUAACGGCCCACCAAGGCUACGAUCAGUAGGGGUUCUGAGAGGAAGGUCCCCCACAUUGGAACUGAGACACGGUCCAAACUCCUACGGGAGGCAGCAGUGAGGAAUAUUGGUCAAUGGACGAGAGUCUGAACCAGCCAAGUAGCGUGCAGGAUGACGGCCCUAUGGGUUGUAAACUGCUUUUAUAAGGGAAUAAAGUGAGUCUCGUGAGGCUUUUUGCAUGUACCUUAUGAAUAAGGACCGGCUAAUUCCGUGCCAGCAGCCGCGGUAAUACGGAAGGUCCGGGCGUUAUCCGGAUUUAUUGGGUUUAAAGGGAGCGUAGGCCGGAGAUUAAGCGUGUUGUGAAAUGUAGACGCUCAACGUCUGCACUGCAGCGCGAACUGGUUUCCUUGAGUACGCACAAAGUGGGCGGAAUUCGUGGUGUAGCGGUGAAAUGCUUAGAUAUCACGAAGAACUCCGAUUGCGAAGGCAGCUCACUGGAGCGCAACUGACGCUGAAGCUCGAAAGUGCGGGUAUCGAACAGGAUUAGAUACCCUGGUAGUCCGCACGGUAAACGAUGGAUGCCCGCUGUUGGUCUGAAUAGGUCAGCGGCCAAGCGAAAGCAUUAAGCAUCCCACCUGGGGAGUACGCCGGCAACGGUGCAACUCAAAUGAAUUGACGGA